CAAAAGCAUAGUAUUGACACCUUCAAGAGGCAUCUUCCUUUCUCGGGAGAAGAGGGAAUACAGGAACACAUAAAAAAGCGGUAAGGAGGUUUGAGGAGAAAACUUAUAUCACUGGAAUAAGUUGGGUAUUUCUCUCAAACGAGCUUCUUUUGUUUUAUAGUGUGUGCAAUUUGAAUUAUACAUUUCUUGUGAUAGUUUGUCUAUUACUAAAACUAAACUCGGUGGUGUUUUGAAUUGAUGUUAGGUCCAAUCACCAGGAAUGUUUAUAGAUUAGUUGAUAAAGAUAUCUUUGGAGAUGCUGUAAUUUGAGAGAGAAUGCAGAUCCCUACAACCAAUUCUUAUCAGUUCAAUGCUGCUAAAACAACCAAAAUCCUUAAUAUUCAGGUAAUGGAGAUCCUUUCAUUUUUAGGUACCGAUAACAAAUGU
rnacentral:lncRNA from 1 species